rnacentral:tRNA from 1 species
GCCCAGAUGGUGGAAUAGGUAGACACGCAGGACUUAAAAUCCUGUGGCCAUAACGGCCGUGCGGGUUCGAUUCCCGCUCUGGGUAC